rnacentral:lncRNA from 1 species
GACGUGACGGUAGGAGAUUACAAAUCCAACCAAGGUGGAGAUUGUUAGGAUUUGGUUAGAUUUGUAAUUGAAUCCUACUUGGAUUAGAAUUAAUAUUUAAAUCUGUUGGAAAUAAAUCAUGAUUUAAAUAUUAAUCAGAGGUUAAAAUCUAACUAGAUUAGGAUUAAUAUUUAAAUCUAUUAAAGAUUAAUUAAGAUAGAUUUAGAUAUUAAUUGGAGUAGAAAUCCUAAAUAUAUUAGGAUUGGGGUACGUUUUGGUGGAGUAUUAUAAAUAGCUCUUGAUGGUGCUCCUUUUUUGACAUGAGUACGGGAGAGAGAAAAGGCCUCUUGGUGCCGUACCAGAGAGAGAAAAAGAGAGAGAGAGAGUUAUUUAGUGCACCUAGUGCAUGGGUGCGCGCGGAUGAUUGUCUUCUUUAUGGGAUUAUAGAAGACGAGAGAAGGGUAGAAGAGAUUCAAGAAAGAGGGCUCGGGUUGUAGUUACUCUGUGCAGAAGAGGAGUCAGGUGUAAUCUUCUCUUAUUUAAUGAAUCUUAUUUUACCCGCAUAUUUUCUGUUUUGGUAUUUCUCUCUUUUAUGAUUGUAUCAGCUUUUGCUGAGGAGACGGGUNN